GCUGAAGUAGCUCAGCUGGGAGAGCGUUAGACUGAAGAUCUAAAGGUCCUGGUUCAACCCCGGGCUUCAGCA